AAUAGAGUACAGGUUAAGAUCAAUUACGAUCGACGAAUCCUAUGAUUGAUUCUAUUUUACUAGUAAAGAUUUCUUCUUUUUUUUUUUGGAUUUCUAUAUGUGGAACAUUUUGUUCCGUUAACCGUUGUGUCUUUUCGAUGUUGCCAGAACCCCUUAUCUUUCUUUUUUCUAUGUUUUUAUGUUAACUUGGUGAUCUUUGUUUGUGUCACGGCGGAAGUGAAGGUUCAAACUAGACUUGUUUGGCGUAUAUUUGUGGUGUUCUUGGCGUUUUUGGUAAUGCUUUCUCGCUGUGUUUAUCCGUAGUUAUACUACGAUGUCUUUGUCCAAAGUUUUUCUAGAUCUCAGUGAUUUUCUUCUGUUUGACCUUAGACGCACAUCUACAUUACUUUCAUUCUUUCAAUCUGGUCCGUGGCUGCUAGACACUUAGUUUUCUCGAUGGGUCUUGGAUAUGGGUGUCCUGCAACUCCUAUCCUCUCGCUUUGGCUUUGGUACCACCGACGAUCUUCAGCAGUAACAUGUGGAGCUUAUUUUCAAAUGAAUCUUUCACCUGUUUUGCAGUGGUCUCUGGUGGCUGCGCAUGGUGGUGUGUUGGCCCUGGUAUCGUUUGUCCACAAUGUGUGUUAGUAGUUUUCUCACUUGAAAUUUAGUGUUUUCCGAUAUUAUGGUGUUCACCUCGUUUUCUCUUUUUUUUUUUUCAUUUUCGUGGCGAUUAUUUUCUCAGUUAGUAGAACGACAUAUGUGGUUGCCUGCUUGGUGGUAAAUUGACAGUUAAGCAUUCAGUCUUCAUUUUCUCGGCAGAGGUUGCUCCAGAGGUUAUGCUUCCUUUUAGUCUUUUUGCUUUAUACUUUUUUUGAUAACCGUAGUGUGAUCCCAAAAGCUUUCUAGGUCCAAAGACUAAUCACUAGGUCCGCAGGAUCCGCGUUUUCUUAACACUUAAGGCGCCCCGGAUGGCCAAAGGGAAUCGAACCCAUGGCGGUACUCACAGCUAUGAACUCUUUACCACUUGACCAAGACCACUUGGUUACGAGCACUCGGUUUAUACGAUGCUUUAUACGGGCACUCGGUUUAGUGGAUGUAUUUUUGGGAGGUUUGGAAGCGGUAAUUAAUCUCUGAGUGUUUCUGUAACGCCCCGACCCGCCCACGGCUAAUGGGCCACCCACGCCCGCUCUCUCGGCCCGUGGGCCCCAUCCCGUCUGACGGUCGGUCCGUUAAUUUUCCAAAGGUUCGAAAUCAUUGUUUACUGACCCUGCAAUCACCACCCGACCUUUUCCCAUGCUUUGGCCUCACUCGCACGCUAUCGCGAAUCACUUCCCGAUAGGUCACCCAUCCUUCCACUACUCCAGCUUAAGCACGCUUAACUCUGGAGUUCUUUCAGGAUGUGUUCCAGAAAAGGUAAGUCAACUUUGGUGACAUAAGUAGCCAAAUCAAUUCUCUUAAGCCUUUUUCACAUAUCACAACUCGGGAUGUUACAAUUCACCCCCUCUCAAAGAACGCAACGUCCUCGUUGCGCCCCCGACAGGUCUCAAGACGCCUCUCAGGUCGGAACUGAGAUGGCUAACCAGCUCUGAUACCACUUGUAACGCCCCGACCCGCCCACGGCUAAUGGGCCACCCACGCCCGCUCUCUCGGCCCGUGGGCCCCAUCCCGUCUGACGGUCGGUCCGUUAAUUUUCCAAAGGCUCGAAAUCAUUGUUUACUGACCCUGCAAUCACCACCCGACCUUUUCCCAUGCUUUGGCCUCACUCGCACGCUAUCGCGAAUCACUUCCCGAUAGGUCACCCAUCCUUCC
rnacentral:lncRNA from 1 species